rnacentral:rRNA from 1 species
GGAACGCUAAUACCGCAUACGUCCUACGGGAGAAAGCAGGGGACCUUCGGGCCUUGCGCUAUCAGAUGAGCCUAGGUCGGAUUAGCUAGUUGGUGAGGUAAUGGCUCACCAAGGCGACGAUCCGUAACUCGGUUCUGAGACGGAUGAUCAGUCUACACUGGAACUGAGACACGGUCCAGACUCCUACGGGAGGCAGCAGGA